AUCAUGUUAACACCUUUGACUCUCUGGGCCCAUUUAUUCCAUCAAAAUUAACACAACAGCCCAUCCAAUGGGAUUGCACUAUUGACUUUCACAAGCUCCCAAAAUCCAGGACAAGUCUCUAUAUGCCACAAAUGAGACACUUAUAAACUCAGCCUGCUUAGUGGGUUCAUUUGUGCCUUCUUCAUCUGUCACUGUCUGGCUGAUCUAAAGAAACUGCAGUUAAUGUGACUUAUUUUUUCAGUGAAGAUGGAAAGUUGCUCACAGCACUCACUUGAUGAGUCUGUUUCAAACACUACACAGAUCAUGGAACAAUCAAGCUUUUUAACAUCCUGAACAGCUCUGUGAGGAGGUUCUUCACAAAAUCUACAUUACAGAUAGAAAAUCUUAACCCAGGAAGGAAACAACAUGACUCAUGUGACUUUUCAUCUUCUAGAAGACAGGAAGUGCUACCAUAUUAGAAGGAGGUUUUCCAAUCCAACUCACAAGAAAGAGGAAACCCAAAGAAGAAGCAGCUGGCUAGCCAAAAAGGAAAAAGUGACUUCUUUCACAAAAUUCAUUCACUCAAGGAGCAUGAAUUCUGCAUGGGGAGAGGAAUAUUUGUCAUUGCCUGGAAUGGGAGCGCGUGUUCAUUAAGGUGAAGUCCACAUCCUCUAACACUUGUGCCCUGCCUACACAUGGAGUGGCCUCUCUUCAAGUUUUAUUUAGAGCCAAAAUCAGGACAGAAAAGUUCCACCUACAGAAAAGUUCCAGGACAGAAAAGUUCCACCUCUUUGGCAUGCAGCUAAACACAAUGUAAGCCAACAGCUUGCUCUAAAUUAGGGUUAGACAUUUUUAUAUAAGCAGUUCAUCUACUCAGCCACUUUGGAAUCCGUCAUUAUUCUCCCAUUCCACCUCCUUUAUUAAUAGGUGUACUUCUAUAGUGUUACUCUGCUGUAUAGCUUUGAUGUACUCUGAUGUUUAGCUCUGCUCAUCCUUCACUAUGGAAAUUGCCACUGCAGGGGCAUAGACAGCUUUUUUUAUUUGGAGAGGCUGGAGUUAAAAAUAAUAAUAGAUGCUGAAUUUCACUUUUAAUGAGUAGUUUUGUAUCAUAACUAAAUUUAUGCACUUUUAAUAAAGUGAGAUAAAUGAGCUUCUGUUCCAAACUCAGUGUUUCCUUUAUAUAUUAAAGCAAUCUAAAUUUUUCGGAAGGGCUAAAGCCCUCCAAACCCCCAGUUAUCGAUGACCAUGUAAUGUGCUGUGUUUCCAAGUUAAAAAGCAAUUUUUCUAACUG